AUGAUUCGGAAUGGUUUGGCGGUCGGUCAUGAGCUUCAUCGUCGCCGGAUCAAGCCUGGUAUUUUUUGUACUGCUUGCGAGAGGGAGGAAACAGUUCUUGACAGGUUCUGGUUGUGUCCCCACUCCUCUCAGUUUUGGCAAAUCCUGUCUUCAGAGAAGGGCGUCGCGGUGGCAGUACCACCGGUUCCCAUUGACUCCCAGAAGGCAUUGUCAGCCUGGCUUCUGAGCUUCUUCGCAAACGCUGUUGAGGAGGAGAAACAAGCUUUCAUUCAUGCUACCUACGGCUUGUGGCUUGCCCAUAAUGAAGCUCGUGAGGGCGUUAAGAUCGCUCACCCCAGGGAGGUGGUCGAUAGGGUCCAUGCGCACUUGGUGGAGUGGCGCGACAUCAAUGCUGCAGUGGCCAAAGCUCCGAAGUUUCCACAUGUUUAGGCCUGGGAACCGCCAGCGCAAGGGUGGGUAAAAGUGAACUCUGACGGGGCUGUUUCCAAGCUGAGAAAUUCAGGUGGCGGCGGCGCUGUCCUCCGGGACCAUGAUGGUGCUUUCAGGGCUGGGGUAUGCCACUUUUUCCCCAACACGGCGGAUCCUGCAGUAUCUGAAAUCCUUGCUUGCCGACGGGGUGUGCAGCUCGCUGUUGAGCUAGGUAUUCAACGUGUUCAUCUUGAGCUCGACUGCCAAGCUGUUGUCCAGCAGCUGUUGAAACCUGAGAGGUGCUUGAGCACUGUGGGGCCGUGGAUUCAAGAGAUAAAAGCUUUGCUCAAUACCUGCUUGGAGUAUCGUGUCGACUGGGUUCGUCGUUCUGCAAAUGUUGCUGCGCAUAAGCUUGCUAGGGUAGGUGUGGGUGAUGAGUUGUGUAAGGUGUGGCUGGGGUCUCCCCCUGACUUUGUUCUACCUGUAAUCGCUGACGACAUUCCCAGCUACGCUGGUUAA
rnacentral:rRNA from 1 species